GUUGAGAGGGUUAAGACCCUCGGCGGACUGCUCAGUAACACGUGGAUAACCUGCCCUAAGGUGGAGGAUAACCCCGGGAAACUGGGGAUAAUACUCCAUAGGUUAAAGGUACUGGAAUGUUCUUUAACCGAAAGUUCCGGCGCCUUAGGAUGGAUCUGCGGCCGAUUAGGUUGUUGUUGGGGUAGUGGCCCAACAAGCCUGUAAUCGGUNNNNNNNNNN
rnacentral:ncRNA from 1 species